rnacentral:tRNA from 1 species
GGGGCGGUAGCUCAGCGAGGUAAGAGCAGGGGACUCAUAAUCCUCCGGUCGUGGGUUCAAAUCCCACCCGCCCCACCA